AAGUCAGAAUCCGUGCUAGAAACGAUGAUUUUGGUGUCGCACAUUAGACUUGUGUUUAAAUAGAGCUUUGCUCGUGAACCAAAUAUGGUGGGCUGGGUUGUCUUUGUGGAAACGCUUAGGCGACUUGUCUACGAAUUGUAAUCAUAAUAUGGGCGGCGGUGAAUCCUUUGCAGACGACUUGAAUGGGAACGGGGUACUGUAAGUGGUAGAGUAGCCUUGUUGCUACGAUCCACUGAGGUUAAGCCCUUGUUCUAAAGAUUUGUUCAACUUUGUUGGACU
rnacentral:rRNA from 1 species